AAUGAACGCUGGCGGCGCGCCUAAUACAUGCAAGUCGAGCGAGAAGACGUAGCAAUACGUUUGUAAAGCGGCGAACGGGUGAGGAAUACAUGGGUAACCUACCCUCGAGUGGGGAAUAACUAGCCGAAAGGUUAGCUAAUACCGCGUACGCUUCUUGGACUUCGGUUCAGGGAGGAAAGCGAUGCCGAGGGUAUCGCGCUCUUGGAUGGGCUCAUGUCCUAUCAGCUUGUUGGGAGGUAACGGCUCACCAAGGCUUCGACGGGUAGCUGGUCUGAGAGGACGAUCAGCCACACUGGCACUGCGACACGGGCCAGACUCCUACGGGAGGCAGCAGUAAGGAAUAUUGCGCAAUGGGCGAAAGCCUGACGCAGCGACGCCGCGUGGGGGAGUNAA
rnacentral:rRNA from 1 species